UUUUAAAAAUAUAUAAUAAUAAAUAUUAGAAAAUAUAUAGAUAACGCAUUUUUUCAAUGCAAAAGUAUAUCUUGGAGAGCUUUUGAUUUAGAUUUGCAAAUUAGGUUUUUAAACUGAUAAAUUAUAUGUAUUUUUUAUUUUUUAACAUUAAAAUGAAGUCAAAAAUAAUUUUUAAAUAUAAGAACUAGUUUCACCUGUAAUGCUAAAUUCUAAAUUAGAACUAAAAAUAAAAGUACGUGGCAUUGAUCUUUUUGCGUAGUAAAAACUUAAGCGCUAGGCCCAAAUGUAAAAUAACUAUUUCUGGUACGUCGUCGUUUCAAUAAACUCUGAAAGUCAAAAAGGCCUCUUGGCGGUGGCCCGAGCCCUAAAUCCCCCUCCCAGAGCAAACAGGCCCCCUCUCUCUCCCGCUUCUUUGACAGUUCGACUGGCUCUUUCGCUUUCUGCUUCAAGCCUACCUCUCCACUCUUUCCUCAACAUGAAGCUCGUCAGGUUUUUGAUGAAGUUGAACAAUGAAACGGUGUCGAUUGAGCUCAAGAACGGAACCGUUGUUCACGGCACCAUCACAGGUGUGGAUAUCAGUAUGAACACCCAUCUGAAAACAGUGAAGCUCACAUUGAAGGGGAAAAAUCCAGUGAGUUUGGAUCACCUUAGUGUAAGGGGUAACAAUAUUCGCUACUAUAUUCUGCCUGACAGCUUAAAUCUUGAGACAUUGCUGGUUGAAGAGACACCUAGGGUGAAACCCAAGAAGCCAACAGCUGGGAGGCCUUUGGGACGUGGUCGGGGUCGUGGGCGUGGGCGUGGACGCGGACGAGGCCGUUAAAUAAGUUGUGCUGCUUCCAAAUUUUUGUGACAGGCUUUCAUCUUCCAUGCAUUUCCUUGGUUUGGCCUUAAUGCUGCUGCAUCAUCAGCAUUACAAGCAGAAGCAACAGCAGUGAAUGUGAAUCAACGUCUUGGGUUCUUGGAGGAAGGUGGAAAUAGUUGUGAUAUCUAUGAUGGGAAAUGGGUUUGGGAUGAUAACUACUCUUUAUCAGAGUCCAGAUUGCCCUUUCAUAGAUAGUGGUUUCCGGUGUAUAGAGAAUGGUGGGCCUGAUAGUUUCUACACCAAGUGGCGCUGGCAACCUAAAGGUUGCAAUUUCCCCAGAUUUAAUGCAACGAAGAUGCUGGAAAAGCUAAGGAACCGGCGACUUGCAUUUAUUGGUGACUCAAUUGGAAGGAACCAAUAGGAGUCUAUGCUUUGCAUGCUUAGCUCUGUUAUUCCGAGUAAGGAUUCAAUAAAUGAGGUGAACGGAAGCCCAAUCACAAAGCAUAAAGGCUUCUUGGUUUUCAGGUUUGCGGAUUAUAACUGCACAGUUGAAUACUACAGAGCCCCAUUUCUAGUUGCCCAGGGAAUUGCUCCACGAGGAGCUCCAAAAUGUCUUAGAAUGACUCUAAGACUAGAUCGUAUGACCUGGACUCACCAGCAGUGGGUUGAUGCAGAUGUGCUAGUUUUCAACAGUGGUCACUGGUGGAGUCAAGAAGACCACAAACCGUGGCCGUUAUUUCCAAGAAGGAACAGAGGUGAACUUAAAGAUGGACCUGGCAACGGCAUUUUGGAAAUCAAUUGAAACAUUACUUCACUCUGUUCAUAGUCAAGUAAAUACAAACAAGACUCGAGUUUUUUUCCGAACCUAUGCUCCAACACAUUUCAGUUCCUAUCCUUCCUACUCUAGUUUCAGCUUGGCUUUCAAACAUGGAAGAUCUUUUUCUGUUCUAUGCAUAUUCUGGUAACAGCAAGAUGGAUAUGAAUAUCAAGUAUCAUCGUCACUCAUCAUCUCUUUCCCUCUUAGAAAAUAUUACUAUUGUUACUUCUUUUGAGCACAAUACCUCAUUUGAUCUCUUAAAAAUUCAAAAGAGAUAAGGAAUACAGUGAAUAGAACUGACAUUUUCAUCUAUAGCAUGUUACUGCAGGCAUAGGGUUCUGCUUUUAGAUCUGGUGUUUCAUGCUGCAACAGUUGAUUAGAUCCCAAAAGUUAAAUGGAAAGUCAAUAAAACAAUAAACUCCACCAGAAUAGAAGGACUUCAACUUUAAGCUAAUAUGUCAAGAUGCAGUCGUCUCAAGUAACCUGAAACGUUGUUGAUAUUAGUGUGAUAUAGGGUCCUUGCUGACUAAGAGGUUGCAAUAGGCUGAAUGCUAUUUUCAGGAUUUUGGCCCGGUCACCAUAGUUUGAAUGUGUUCUGCUCACUUUAUACAUCUAUGGGCAUUAGUGUCACUAUUCCUUCUGCAUCAAACUUAUCAUAUCAUUAAAGGAAAUGAUUGACCAUCGGUUUGAUGUAACAGAGGUGGUGCCUGGAACAAUGGUGGACAUUGUCACCAUAUAAAGCUACCCGAUUUUGGUCCAUUUCCUGAUAAAACUGAAAAACGCAUUGAGAUGGUAUGCGAUGUAUUGUCAGAGCAGCCAGAGUGUUUACAGGUGAUGGAAACGAUGAAUGUGACUCCCAUGACAUAUCAAAGGCCAGAUGGUCAUACAACUUUGUAUCAUUUUGGGCGAGGAAACGAAUCAAAUCAGAACCUGCCAGCGAAGAUUGUAACCACUGGUGCUUGCCUGGGGCCCCUGAUUCAUGGAAUGAGCUUCUUUAUGCACUUAUCCUCGAGUGGGAGUCUGUUCGCCCCUCCACUCCGACUGUACGUUCCCAGGCUCCAUUGUGAUGCUAUAUCAAAGUUCCCUUAAUAUUAUUGACAUAAUACGGAGGAGUUUAAGUGCACAAGGAAAAUAGUCCAUAUUCCUGACAAAUGUUAAGCCUGAGAAUCUUGUACAACUGAAAAAUGACAUUUAUGCAAAUUCUUCCUCCCCAAUUCCUGAUUUGUUGGAAUGUUUGUUGAAAAUUGAAACCCUUUUGGCUUGGUCAACAGAAAGCUUAUUCUCUUCUCACUCUUGGACACAGGAACUCGUACACAAGUAUUGAAUGGUUCAUUGCAGUUUGUAUAAGGAGAUCGUGGUAAAGAAAGGAUGAAAUGGCAAAAAACAGGGGCACCCCUGCCCUUGGUAUUGUCUCUCUUAUAAUUUCCAGUUUUCAUGUAUAGGGAAACUGCUGUGUUUCUACUAUAAUACUACAAUUAGAAUGUGAUGCAAAUCGUUAGGUUUGAUGGGCUUUUUAAAAGUACAUCAAUUAUUUUCCUGUGUUGGCAUCCAACCAUAUGGUCUUAUACCUGUUUGCAUCACAAUUGUUUAUUUGUGUUAUCUCGUUCAAACUUCAAAUUCGUGUGCCAAUAGUUAAUGUUUUCCAUUCAACAUCAAUAAAUCAAACGAUAAAAAAAAAGAAGCGUACUUGAACCUUUAUCAUGAUUACAGAAAACCCACAAUUUCUGUUGUCCCGAAGAACCAGAAUUACAUGAAAAAAAAAAAAAAAGUGAACAGCUGAA